rnacentral:rRNA from 1 species
AGCGAACGCUGGCGGCAUGCUUAUCACAUGCAAGUCGCACGGAUCUUUCGGGAUCAGUGGCGGACGGGUGAGUAACGCGUAGGGAUCUAUCCAUGGGUGGGGGACAACUCCGGGAAACUGGAGCUAAUACCGCAUGAUACCUGAGGGUCAAAGGCGCAAGUCGCCUGUGGAGGAACCUGCGUUCGAUUAGCUAGUUGGUGGGGUAAAGGCCUACCAAGGCGAUGAUCGAUAGCUGGUUUGAGAGGAUGAUCAGCCACACUGGGACUGAGACACGGCCCAGACUCCUACGGGAGGCAGCAGUGGGGAAUAUUGGACAAUGGGCGAAAGCCUGAUCCAGCAAUGCCGCGUGUGUGAAGAAGGUCUUCGGAUUGUAAAGCACUUUCGACGGGGACGAUGAUGACGGUACCCGUAGAAGAAGCCCCGGCUAACUUCGUG